UUUAAGAGCAGGUACAAUAGCAGUCUAUUAGCCAGUUAUAAAUAUAUUUUAAUGAGAUAAAAAAUGAGAGAGAAAAGAAGCGGGCUACAGAUCUGUAGCCAGCUGCAGCACGAACUCCAGGACGCAGUGUGUGUAUGAUAUGUAGGACCAUAUAUUAAUAGUAUAGUAAGCAACUGUGGUAUAAAUUGGCUAUUAUAUUGGCUAUAGAUAAAUUGGAGCUAGUAGUGGGCUAUACUAUUAAAUUUGCUCUAAUAGUAUAUCCCGAUACUAACUCCAAAUCAUCUAUAGCCAAUGUAAUAGCCAAUUCAUACAAUAGUUGCUUACUAUACUAUUAUACCUGGUCUCAUAUGUCAUAUACACAUUACGUUUUGGAGUCCGUGGUGCAGCUGGCUAUAGAUAUGUAGCCCACUGAUCUUCUCUCUUUCUUUAUCUUUUUAAAAUAUAUUUAUAGCUGACUUAUAGUCUGCUAUUGUACCUGCUCUAAGC
rnacentral:misc_RNA from 1 species